rnacentral:rRNA from 1 species
UACGGAGGAUGCGGGCGUUAUCCGGAUUUAUUGGGUUUAAAGGGUGCGUAGGCGGGCUUUUAAGUCAGCGGUAAAAAUUCGGGGCUCAACCCCGUCCGGCCGUUGAAACUGGGGGUCUUGAGUGGGCGAGAAGAAGGCGGAAUGCGUGGUGUAGCGGUGAAAUGCAUAGAUAUCACGCAGAACCCCGAUUGCGAAGGCAGCCUUCCGGCGCCCUACUGACGCUGAGGCACGAAAGCGUGGGGAGCAAAUAGG